rnacentral:rRNA from 1 species
GUACGCUAUUCAGAGUUUGAUCCUGGCUCAGAUUGAACGCUGGCGGCAUGCUUUACACAUGCAAGUCGAACGGCAACGAGGAGAAGCUCGCUUCUCUGUCGGCGAGUGGCGAACGGGUGAGUAUAGCAUCGGAACGUGCCAAGUAGUGGGGGAUAACCAAACGAAAGUUUGGCUAAUACCGCGUAAGCUCCAAGGAGGAAAGUAGGGGACCUAAAUAAGGCCUUACGCUAUUUGAUCGGCCGAUGUCGGAUUAGCUAGUUGGUGGGGUAAUGGCUCACCAAGGCAAUGAUCCGUAGCGGGUCUGAGAGGACGAUCCGCCACACUGGGACUGAGACACGGCCCAG